rnacentral:tRNA from 1 species
UUAAAAUUAGUUCAAACAUAACGCGAGCUUGUCAAGUUCGAAUUAUUACGAAAGUAAUAUUUUAAA